GGUUAAGCGACUAAGCGUACACGGUGGAUGCCCUGGCAGUCAGAGGCGAUGAAGGACGUGCUAAUCUGCGAAAAGCGUCGGUAAGGUGAUAUGAACCGUUAUAGCCGGCGAUGUCCGAAUGGGGAAACCCAGUGCAAUUCGUUGCACUAUCGUUAACUGAAUACAUAGGUUAACGAGGCGAACCGGGGGAACUGAAACAUCUAAGUACCCCGAGGAAAAGAAAUCAACCGAGAUUCCCCCAGUAGCGGCGAGCGAACGGGGAGCAGCCCGGAGUCUGAAUCAGCUUGUGUGUUAGUGGAAGCGUCUGGAAAGUCGCAGGGUACAGGGUGAUACUCCCGUACACUAAAACACACAGGUUGUGAACUCGAAGAGUAGGGCGGGACACGUGGUAUCCUGUCUGAAUAUGGGGGGACCAUCCUCCAAGGCUAAAUACUCCUGACUGACCGAUAGUGAACCAGUACCGUGAGGGAAAGGCGAAAAGAACCCCGGCGAGGGGAGUGAAAAAGAACCUGAAACCGUGUACGUACAAGCAGUAGGAGCCCACUUGUUGGGUGACUGCGUACCUUUUGUAUAAUGGGUCAGCGACUUAUAUUCUGUAGCAAGGUUAACCGUAUAGGGGAGCCGCAGGGAAACCGAGUCUUAACUGGGCGUUAAGUUGCAGGGUAUAGACCCGAAACCCGGUGAUCUAGCCAUGGGCAGGUUGAAGGUUGGGUAACACUAACUGGAGGACCGAACCGACUAAUGUUGAAAAAUUAGCGGAUGACUUGUGGCUGGGGGUGAAAGGCCAAUCAAACCGGGAGAUAGCUGGUUCUCCCCGAAAGCUAUUUAGGUAGCGCCUCGUGAAUUCAUCUUCGGGGGUAGAGCACUGUUUCGGCUAGGGGGUCAUCCCGACUUACCAACCCGAUGCAAACUACGAAUACCGAAGAAUGUUAUCACGGGAGACACACGGCGGGUGCUAACGUCCGUCGUGAAGAGGGAAACAACCCAGACCGCCAGCUAAGGUCCCAAAGUCAUGGUUAAGUGGGAAACGAUGUGGGAAGGCCCAGACAGCCAGGAUGUUGGCUUAGAAGCAGCCAUCAUUUAAAGAAAGCGUAAUAGCUCACUGGUCGAGUCGGCCUGCGCGGAAGAUGUAACGGGGCUAAACCAUGCACCGAAGCUGCGGCAGCGACACUAUGUGUUGUUGGGUAGGGGAGCGUUCUGUAAGCCGUUGAAGGUGGCCUGUGAGGGUUGCUGGAGGUAUCAGAAGUGCGAAUGCUGACAUAAGUAACGAUAAUGCGGGUGAAAAACCCGCACGCCGGAAGACCAAGGGUUCCUGUCCAACGUUAAUCGGGGCAGGGUGAGUCGACCCCUAAGGCGAGGCCGAAAGGCGUAGUCGAUGGGAAACAGGUUAAUAUUCCUGUACUCGGUGUUACUGCGAAGGGGGGACGGAGAAGGCUAUGUUGGCCGGGCGACGGUUGUCCCGGUUUAAGCAUGUAGGCGGAUGUUCCAGGUAAAUCCGGAACGUCACUAACGCUGAGGUGUGAUGACGAGGCACUACGGUGCUGAAGUGACAAAUGCCCUGCUUCCAGGAAAAGCCUCUAAGCAUCAGGUAACAUCAAAUCGUACCCCAAACCGACACAGGUGGUCAGGUAGAGAAUACCAAGGCGCUUGAGAGAACUCGGGUGAAGGAACUAGGCAAAAUGGUGCCGUAACUUCGGGAGAAGGCACGCUGAUGGUAGGUGAAGUGACUUGCUCAUGGAGCUGAAAUCAGUCGAAGAUACCAGCUGGCUGCAACUGUUUAUUAAAAACACAGCACUGUGCAAACACGAAAGUGGACGUAUACGGUGUGACGCCUGCCCGGUGCCGGAAGGUUAAUUGAUGGGGUUAUCCGUAAGGAGAAGCUCUUGAUCGAAGCCCCGGUAAACGGCGGCCGUAACUAUAACGGUCCUAAGGUAGCGAAAUUCCUUGUCGGGUAAGUUCCGACCUGCACGAAUGGCGUAAUGAUGGCCAGGCUGUCUCCACCCGAGACUCAGUGAAAUUGAACUCGCUGUGAAGAUGCAGUGUACCCGCGGCAAGACGGAAAGACCCCGUGAACCUUUACUAUAGCUUGACACUGAACACUGGUCCUUGAUGUGUAGGAUAGGUGGGAGGCUUUGAAGUGUGGACGCCAGUCUGCAUGGAGCCAUCCUUGAAAUACCACCCUUUAAUGGCUGGUGUUCUAACGUGGGCCCCUAAUCGGGGUUGCGGACAGUGUCUGGUGGGUAGUUUGACUGGGGCGGUCUCCUCCUAAAGAGUAACGGAGGAGCACGAAGGUCAGCUAAUCCUGGUCGGACAUCAGGAGGUUAGUGCAAUGGCAUAAGCUGGCUUGACUGCGAGCGUGACGGCGCGAGCAGGUGCGAAAGCAGGUCAUAGUGAUCCGGUGGUUCUGAAUGGAAGGGCCAUCGCUCAACGGAUAAAAGGUACUCCGGGGAUAACAGGCUGAUACCGCCCAAGAGUUCAUAUCGACGGCGGUGUUUGGCACCUCGAUGUCGGCUCAUCACAUCCUGGGGCUGAAGUAGGUCCCAAGGGUAUGGCUGUUCGCCAUUUAAAGUGGUACGCGAGCUGGGUUUAGAACGUCGUGAGACAGUUCGGUCCCUAUCUGCCGUGGGCGCUGGAGAAUUGAGGGGGGCUGCUCCUAGUACGAGAGGACCGGAGUGGACGCAUCACUGGUGUUCGGGUUGUCAUGCCAAUGGCAUUGCCCGGUAGCUAAAUGCGGAAGAGAUAAGUGCUGAAAGCAUCUAAGCACGAAACUUGCCCCGAGAUGAGUUCUCCCUGACUCCUUGAGAGUCCUGAAGGAACGUUGAAGACGACGACGUUGAUAGGCCGGGUGUGUAAGCGCAGCGAUGCGUUGAGCUAACCGGUACUAAUGAACCGUGAGGCUUAACCUU
rnacentral:rRNA from 1 species